UGUAUUAUGUAUGGGGCCUUGCUAGGGUUGAUCUAUCAUCAGUGUCUCCUGGCCUCUGCUGAGUUUGUUUUUUGGCAGAUGGCAUUGUCCAGGAGAUGAUAGACUGACAAAACUGAGGAUGAAUUGUGUGUGUCUGAUUAGUUUGUGGGUGUUGCUUUCAUGAACAAAAUGCUAUGUACAAUAUGCCAAAGACUGAGAUAUGCUAGUAUUCUUGGG
rnacentral:lncRNA from 1 species